UACGGAGGAUGCGAGCGUUAUCCGGAUUUAUUGGGUUUAAAGGGUGCGCAGGCGGUCUGUUAAGUCAGCGGUCAAGCCCGGGGCUCAACCCCGGCCCGCCGUUGAAACUGGCAGUCUCGAGUUGGAGAGAAGUAUGCGGAAUGCGCGGUGUAGCGGUGAAAUGCAUAGAUAUCGCGCAGAACUCCGAUUGCGAAGGCAGCAUACCGGCGCUCAACUGACGCUCAGGCACGAAAGCGUGGGUAUCGAACAGG
rnacentral:rRNA from 1 species